UUCGGUCCUCGGUAGUGACCUCCGGACGUGGCCAGUGGUACGGAAGCUUUCCGUGAAGAAAGACCGCCCGUGGGUCUCGAUCGAUGACCGCC
rfam:Mobiluncus mulieris ATCC 35239 genomic scaffold SCAFFOLD1, whole genome shotgun sequence.